CAUGUGUAAACAAGCUCUUAGUUUGUUUUUGACUACCAUGAGCUUCUCAUUUGUCUCCCUCAUUGGAAGGAGGCAACCUUGCUGACAACACUCCAGUUGUACUCUUUCACACAGGAACAUAUGGAGAUAAGCAUUUUGCAAGACAAUAGUUCAGCAGGCAGACCGCUUGUUAUACAAAACAAAAGUACUUCCAUCUCCAUCAUCCAAAAUUGGGAAACCAUUCUAUCCCUUGUACACUGGGAAAUUAAACUAGCUCAAUCCAUCAUGUCUAGAGACAUUUCUCAGAAAAAAUAUAUCAGACUGACUGGCAAUCUAACUGCUCCAUUAGCUUCAAUGGAAUUGUGCCCACUUUCUACAUUUUGUCCAAGUGACAAAAAGAAAAACUGGUGAAAG